AAUUGAUGAAUUUCUAAAUGUUGACCUCGGAUCAGGUAGGAUUACCCGCUGAACUUAA
rnacentral:rRNA from 1 species